rnacentral:rRNA from 1 species
GGUUCAUUCAAAUUUCUGCCCUAUCAACUUUCGACGGCUGGGUCUUGGCCAGCCAUGGUGACAACGGGUAACGGAGGGUUAGGGCUCGACCCCGGAGAAGGAGCCUGAGAAACGGCUACUACAUCCAAGGAAGGCAGCAGGCGCGCAAAUUACCCAAUCCCGACCGGGGAGGUAGUGACAAUAAAUACUGAUACAGGGCUCUUUUGGGUCUUGUAAUUGGAAUGAGUACAAUUUAAAUCCCUUAACGAGGAACAAUUGGGGGGCAAGUCUGGUGCCAGCAGCCGCGGUAAUUCCAGCUCCAAUAGCGUAUAUUAAAGUUGUUGCAGUUAAAAAGCUCGUAGUUG